rnacentral:rRNA from 1 species
GUGAGGAAUUUUGGACAAUGGGCGCAAGCCUGAUCCAGCAAUGCCGCGUGCAGGAAGAAGGCCUUCGGGUUGUAAACUGCUUUUGUACGGAACGAAACGGUCCGGGUUAAUACCCUGGGCUAAUGACGGUACCGUAAGAAUAAGCACCGGCUAACUACGUGCCAGCAGCCGCGGUAAUACGUAGGGUGCAAGCGUUAAUCGGAAUUACUGGGCGUAAAGCGUGCGCAGGCGGUUUUGUAAGACAGGCGUGAAAUCCCCGGGCUCAACCUGGGAAUUGCGCUUGUGACUGCAAGGCUGGAGUGCGGCAGAGGGGGAUGGAAGUCCGCGUGUAGCAGUGAAAUGCGUAGAUAUGCGGAGGAACACCGAUGGCGAAGGCAAUCCCCUGGACCUGUACUGACGCUCAUGCACGAAAGCGUGGGGAGCAAACAGGAUUAGAAACCCGAGUAGUCC